rnacentral:rRNA from 1 species
AGUGAACGCUGGCGGCAGGCCUAAUACAUGCAAGUCGAACGGCAGCACAGCAGAGCUUGCUCUGUGGGUGGCGAGUGGCGGACGGGUGAGGAAUACAUGGGAAUCUGCCCAGUCGUGGGGGAUAACGUAGGGAAACUUACGCUAAUACCGCAUGCGCCCUUCGGGGGAAAGCCGGGGACCUUCGGGCCUGGCGCGAUUGGAUGAGCCCAUGUCGGAUUAGCUAGUUGGCGGGGUAAUGGCCCACCAAGGCGACGAUCCGUAGCUGGUCUGAGAGGAUGAUCAGCCACACUGGAACUGAGACACGGUCCAGACUCCUACGGGAGGCAGCAGUAGGGAAUAUUGGACAAUGGGCGCAAGCCUGAUCCAGCCAUGCCGCGUGAGUGAAGAAGGCCCUCGGGUUGUAAAGCUCUUUUGUCCGGAAAGAAAAGCGCCGGGUUAAUACCCUGGUGUCCUGACGGUACCGGAAGAAUAAGCACCGGCUAACUUCGUGCCAGCA